AGGAAUAUUGUGAAGAUAAAUGAGAUAAAUCAUUUGAAGUGUUUUGGGCUCCACUGAUGAUUGAGGACGUUGAGGAUUGAGAACAAGCAAAGUAGAUGAAGAAAGGUGAUCAAGAAGAACCAUGAAAGUGUUAUCCUGGAAUCCAAGUGAAGACAGUGUUUCAAAGUGGAAAUGAACAUGUCCUGGAGCCCUCAGAACGAGGCUAGAGUCAGAAUGCAGGCGAAUGCAGGAUUUUCGCAUUUGAAAUCUAUGAGGCCUAUGACAAGAAAAAACAAUAUUUUUAGAGCUCAUCUAAAUAUCUCCUGUAUAGAAAGUAUUAUGAAAUUUGAACCCAGUUAUCAAAAG